rnacentral:rRNA from 1 species
UGCCAGCCGCCGCGGUAAUACGAAGGGGGCUAGCGUUGUUCGGAAUUACUGGGCGUAAAGCGCGUGUAGGCGGUUCGUUAAGUCUGAUGUGAAAGCCCGGGGCUCAACCCCGGAAGUGCAUUGGAAACUGGUAUUCUAGAAUACAGUAGAGGGAGGUGGAAUUUCAGGUGUAGCGGUGAAAUGCGUAGAGAUCUGAAGGAACAUCAGUGGCGAAGGCGACCUCCUGGACUGAUAUUGACGCUGAGGUGCGAAAGCGUGGGGAGCAAACAGGAUUAGAUA